rnacentral:rRNA from 1 species
AGGAUAAACGCUGGCGGCGUGCCUAAUCAAUGCGAGUCGCACGGCCUUUCGGGGCAGUGGCGUCCGGGUGAGUAACGCGUAGCUAACCUGCCUCCGAGUGGGGGAUACCCGUCAGAAAUGGCGGCUAAUACCGCAUAGCGUGAUCCGCCUAAAGGUGGAGCACGAAAGCAGCAAUGCGCUGGGAGAGGGGGCGUGCGUCUGAUUAGCUAGUCGGUGGGGUAACGGCCUGCCGAGGCGACGAUCAGUAGCUGGUCUGAGAGGAUGGUCAGCCACACUGGGACUGAGACAUGGUCCAGAGCUCUACGGGGGUUUAGCAUGAAGGGAUAUUGCGCAAUGGGCGAAAGCCUGACGCAGCAACGCCGCGUGUGGGACGACGCCUCUCGGGGUGUAAACCACUUUUCCCAGGGAAGAAGGAUGUGACGGUACCUGGGGAAUAAGCCUUGGCUAAGUACGUGCCAGCAGCCGC